AUUAAAACAGAUUUUCGCUGAAUAAAUUAGCAAAUUUUAAAUAAAUUACAUCUGCAUUCACGAUUUUUCUACGAUUUUAUUAAAACUUGAAACAGGGUUAUAUUUUAACUUUUAAGUCUCGCUGAGUUAAUAAAUGAUUAUUAAAAAAAAUAGAAAAUAAAAAAAAGCACGGAUAAAAAUUUAUGCUCUAAUUGUAUCCAAUCAUGUCAAGUGAUGCGUAAACCGAACAAGACGAUUCAAGAUCCUACUCGAGCCUAAAUCGUAUCAGUACGAACUGCGUGUUUUACUUAUGAAUGACUAAAGAUGCGAGAAAAUAUUCUAUCGACACUAAUUAAAUAUUCGGUACACAUCUUUGAUUAGAUUAAUAGCAAUAAACUAAUUGAUUUCACUCUAAUUGUGCAGCGUGUUGAUGAAUCAAGUGAGUCAGUUUUCUACCCUUUUAAUAUAACCUAGUUAUAAAUAGGUCAUUUUUUUUUUUCCUUUAUUUCAUGAUGCGAAUCGAAGAUUAAUUAUGUUUAAUUAAUUAUUCGAACAUAAUAAAAAUCGAUAUUUGUUUAUUUUAUUAUUAAGAAUGAUAGUAUAUAGACUUUAUUAAAAAAAAAUUUACUGACUGUUUUUGUCACGCAAUUGAUUUAUGGUACUUAAUAAUGACUUCUGUAGGUCUAGUUUCAUGCAAUCACGACAUCCCUGCUGAUAGAAAAAUGAAAUAAAUCUGUCCUAACAAGAUAAACCUGUCACGACUUCUGCUACAAUAAUAUAUUCUUCGUGUUAUAAUAGUUAUCAGGAACAAACUAGGGACAUUAGCGAUGGCAAUAUAUGAUGAUUAUUGAUAAUUCACUUUAUGUAAGAUAUCAGUUAAAGCUCUACGUGUGGUGCGAUUAUCGAGAUCGAAUGUUAAAUUUUCUUUUUUUUUUUUUUUUUCCUUAGGAACGAAUUAGCAUUUUUACAGGAGUUAAAAUAAUUUAAAACUCUUAUCUUUGGUUAUGUUUUGAGAAAAAUUCCUGUACUAAUAGAUGCAGGUAAUUCCAGUAUAACAUGAAGGUUUUAGGUGCCUCCACGUGUUGUACGGGGAUUUCUCUUACUCUCAAACCGUGUUAGAGUGAAACCGUAUUCUAGGAUGCUGUGUUGUACGGGGGUUUUCCCCAGUUCUCGAAUCGUGUUCGAUCGAAACCGUGUUAUACGAGGUUACCUGUAUUUUUCAGUGCUAGAAUCUAUUCUAAAAGUUCUUAACAACAUUUAUCAUACGCCUUCUUUCCUAAAAUUUCCGUGUUAUGCGAAUCCGUGUUGUACGAAACAAAAAACUAGUACAAAAAAAGAC
rnacentral:lncRNA from 1 species